AAAAAAAAUAAAUAUUAAAAAUAAUUAUAAAAUUUUAAAGUUUUAGUAUUUUAUUAAGAAAAAAUAAUUUUAAUAAUAGUUUAUUAGUAUUGUAAAAUAAAAUUGAAAUAUAAUGAAAAAUUUUUAUUUUAAAAGAAAAUUUAAUUUAUUGUAUCUUGUGUAUCAGAGUAUAUUAAAUAAAAAAUAUUUAAAUAUUUUUCUCGAUUUUAAAAGAUUUAAUAAAUUAUAAAUGUUAAUGUAACAAAAUUAUAUUUAAUAAUUUAUUAGAAAUGAAAUGUUAUUCGUUUUUAAAGGUAUCUAGUUUUUUAAGAAAUAAGUUUAAUUUAAUAUUCAAAAUUUACUUAUUUAUUUUAUUAAUUAAGUAAUWUUURUUUAAAUAUUAAAAAUAAAGAAAUAAUGAUAUAAUUAGUAUAUUUUUUUUGUAAUAAUAUAUUUUAAAAUGAAAAGUUUAUAUAAAGAAUUCGGCAAAAAUAAUGUUCGCCUGUUUAACAAAAACAUGUCUUUUAGAAAUUAAUUUAAAGUCUGACCUGCCCACUGAAUUUUUUUAAAUGGCCGCAGUAUAUUAACUGUGCAAAGGUAGCAUAAUCAUUAGUCUUUUAAUUGAAGGCUGGAAUGAAUGGUUGGACGAAAUAUUAACUGUUUCAUGUAAAUUUAUAAUAGAAUUUUAUUUUUUAGUCAAAAAGCUAAAAUAAAUUUAAAAGACGAGAAGACCCUAUGAAUCUUUAUAUAAUAUAUAUUUUAAUUUUGUAGAUUAUUUUAAUUAUAAUAUUAUUUUUAUAUUUUAUUGGGGUGAUAUUAAAAUUUAAAUAACUUUUAAGCUUUAAAUCAUUGAUUUAUGAAUAAAUGAUCCAUUUUUAAUGAUUAAAAAUUUAAGUUACUCUAGGGAUAACAGCGUAAUUUUUUUGGAGAGUUCAUAUCGAUAAAAAAGAUUGCGACCUCGAUGUUGGAUUAAGAAAUAAUUUUAGGUGUAGCCGUUUAAAUUUAAAGUCUGUUCGACUUUUAAAAUCUUACAUGAUCUGAGUUCAAACCGGCGUGAGCCAGGUUGGUUUCUAUCUUUAAUUAAUUAAUAUAUUUUAGUACGAAAGGAUUGAAUAUAUAAAUAAUUUUAUUUUAUAAGUAAGAAUAUU
rnacentral:rRNA from 1 species